UACAGAGGGGGCAAGCGUUGUUCGGAAUUACUGGGCGUAAAGGGCGCGUAGGCGGCCCGCUAAGUCGAACGUGAAAUCCCUGGGCUCAACCCAGGAACUGCGUCCGAUACUGGUGGGCUUGAAUCCGGGAGAGGGAUGUGGAAUUCCAGGUGUAGCGGUGAAAUGCGUAGAUAUCUGGAGGAACGCCGGUGGCGAAGGCGACAUCCUGGACCGGUAUUGACGCUGAGGCGCGAAAGCCAGGGGAGCAAACGGG
rnacentral:rRNA from 1 species